AGGUAGGACACUGAGUUUCGAGGAGAAGAUGUGACCUCAUUACCUACCUCCCAUAAUAUUGUUGUGUUUUACUUACAUGGGUACUUCUGGGAGUCUCUGAGAGACUCAGGCUUUCAGUCCAGCUGAAUAGAAGUGCAGCCCCAGUCGAGCAGUUCAGCUCAGCACAAAGAGCUAGACCACAAUGGGAAAUCCUCCUUUGUCAGUAAUCCCACAGCAUCUCUCUGCAAAGCUCUUUUCCUUACUGCCCAGGAAGGAAACAAAAUUGCGUUGUUUCAGAUAUGAAGCACUGACAACAGGAACAUAACGCUUUGCUUUUGGGGUCUGCUAGCCAGGCAUCGCUACAGGAUUUUUUAAGCCAUCCCUGAUGAAAACUCAAGCGUGACGCAGGCUUGGGAGUCUUUGUAACUUCAUCAGAACUUCUGCCGGGGAAAGUGUUUACAUCCGCGCUAAACGGAAUGAAUUUAUUUGGUCUUUUGAAAGGUCA